AGAGUUUGAUCCUGGCUCAGAGCGAACGCUGGCGGCAGGCUUAACACAUGCAAGUCGAGCGGGCAUCUUCGGAUGUCAGCGGCAGACGGGUGAGUAACACGUGGGAACGUACCCUUCGGUUCGGAAUAACGCUGGGAAACUAGCGCUAAUACCGGAUACGCCCUUUUGGGGAAAGGUUUACUGCCGAAGGAUCGGCCCGCGUCUGAUUAGCUAGUUGGUGGGGUAACGGCCUACCAAGGCGACGAUCAGUAGCUGGUCUGAGAGGAUGAUCAGCCACACUGGGACUGAGACACGGCCCAGACUCCUACGGGAGGCAGCAGUGGGGAAUAUUGGACAAUGGGCGCAAGCCUGAUCCAGCCAUGCCGCGUGAGUGAUGAAGGCCUUAGGGUUGUAAAGCUCUUUUGUCCGGGACGAUAAUGACGGUACCGGAAGAAUAAGCCCCGGCUAACUUCGUGCCAGCAGCCGCGGUAAUACGAAGGGGGCUAGCGUUGCUCGGAAUCACUGGGCGUAAAGGGCGCGUAGGCGGCCAUUCAAGUCGGGGGUGAAAGCCUGUGGCUCAACCACAGAAUUGCCUUCGAUACUGUUUGGCUUGAGUAUGGUAGAGGUUGGUGGAACUGCGAGUGUAGAGGUGAAAUUCGUAGAUAUUCGCAAGAACACCGGUGGCGAAGGCGGCCAACUGGACCAUUACUGNNGCUGAGNNGCGAAAGCGUGGGGAGCAAACAGGAUUAGAUACCCUAGUAGUCC
rnacentral:rRNA from 1 species